rnacentral:rRNA from 1 species
UGGGGAAUUUUGGACAAUGGGCGAAAGCCUGAUCCAGCAAUGCCGCGUGUGUGAAGAAGGCCUUCGGGUUGUAAAGCACUUUUGUCCGGAAAGAAAUCCUUGGCUCUAAUACAGUCGGGGGAUGACGGUACCGGAAGAAUAAGCACCGGCUAACUACGUGCCAGCAGCCGCGGUAAUACGUAGGGUGCAAGCGUUAAUCGGAAUUACUGGGCGUAAAGCGUGCGCAGGCGGUUUGCUAAGACCGAUGUGAAAUCCCCGGGCUCAACCUGGGAACUGCAUUGGUGACUGGCAGGCUAGAGUAUGGCAGAGUGGGGUAGAAUUCCCACGUGUAGCAGUGAAAUGCGUAGAGAUGUGGAGGAAUACCGAUGGCGAAGGCAGCCCCCUGGGCCAAUACUGACGCUCAUGCACGAAAGCGUGGGGAGCAAACAGGAUUAGAUACCCUGGUAGUCCACGCCCUAAAACGAUGUCAACUAGUUGUUGGGGAUUCAUUUCCUUAGUAACGUAGCUAACGCGUGAAGUUGACCGCCUGGGGAGUACGGUCGCAAGAUU